rnacentral:rRNA from 1 species
UAGCCGUAAACGAUACUCGCUAGGCGUCGGCCACGGUGCGACCGUUGUCGGUGCCGUAGGGAAGCCGUGAAGCGAGCCACCUGGGAAGUACGGCCGCAAGGCUGAAACUUAAAGGAAUUGGCGGGGGAGCACAACAACGGGUGGAGCUUGCGGUUUAAUUGGAUUCAACGCCGGAAAUCUUACCGGGACCGACAGCAACAUGAAGGCCAAGCUGAAGACUUUGCCGGAUUAGCUGAGAGGUGGUGCAUGGCGUGUGACUGU